rnacentral:rRNA from 1 species
AGAAUCAACGCUGGCGGCGUGCCUAACACAUGCAAGUCGAACGAGAAAGUGGAGCAAUCCAUGAGUAAAGUGGCGCACGGGUGAGUAACACGUGACUAACCUACCCUCGAGUGGGGAAUAACUUCGGGAAACCGAGGCUAAUACCGCAUAAAACCUAAGGGUCAAAGGAGCAAUCCGUUUGAGGAGGGGGUCGCGGCAGAUUAGUUAGUUGGCGGGGUAAUGGCCCACCAAGACGAUGAUCUGUAUCCGGCCUGAGAGGGCGCACGGACACACUGGAACUGAAACACGGUCCAGACUCCUACGGGAGGCAGCAGUGGGGAAUUUUGCGCAAUGGGGGAAACCCUGACGCAGCAACGCCGCGUGGAGGAUGAAAUCCCUUGGGAUGUAAACUCCUUUCGAUCGGGAAGAUAAUGACGGUACCGGAAGAAGAAGCCCCGGCUAACUACGUGCCAGCAGCCGC